GGCCCUUAGGUUAUCCAAACAAAUUAUUUUUCAAAAUACUUUCAAAAGCCAAUGAUGGGAUAGCUUUAUAUUUGCAUUAGAUCCCUUUUUAUCACAAUACCCUCAUGGGCUAAAAUGCAAAUACUCAAAAGCAAGAUCAACGACCAAAAUCAAAUAAAGGCGUUUCUGUAAAAGGGUUUUCUGGGCAAAAUCUUGGGUUUUCAAGGUGUUCAAAUGCAAGGGUGACAUGAUGCUUAUGAUAUGCAAUGCAUAUGAAGGGUUUUGAAAAUUGGGAUGUUACACUGAAGUUCCCCAAUUUCAAAUUUUUGAGCUCCGCGGCCGCCGGCCAAAAUGCGGCCUCCUCGUCGUCGCCUGGAGCUUCCCUCUCGCUUGCGAGCUCUCUCUCCCUCCCGAUCUUUCUCGCCGACCUCCAAUUUCUCUCCGAAUGUCUCUGAUUUUAAAUUAUUAGUUUGCUUCGGUUAAUUAACACCUUAAUCCCCUUGUCAAUGAUUAGGCUAACUAUUUUGUUUUGUUUGUUUUCUUGUGUAUUGUGUUGUAGAUCGAAGGACCGUUCUUAGAUGUACGCCAAGGAAAGAAUCAAUGCUCGAUGGAUAACCGAAUGCACGGUCUUUUUUGGAGUCGCGAAAGGUGAUAUGGAACGAAAAGGACUUUUGAUGAUGCGUUGUCCAUGUCGCAAAUGUGGAAACACAUGCAUGAUGAAGCCUGAAGAUGUUCAGAUGCACGUGCUGGCAUCGGGUUUUGUGGAAGGUUAUUCUCGCUGGACUUGUCACGGGGAGGAUGCGGUUGAUGUCGGUAGCGGUAGCGAAAAUGAUAAUGUCCUGCGGUAUAAUCUGGCGAAUGAUUCCGAGGAAGAAACAAGGGUCGAUGAGGAGGCUAAUGUGGAAGGUGAACGAGCUCCACGUGGCAGGAUUGCCGAAAUGCUAGAUGACCCGUACCUACGGGACCAGCUGGGGGACCCCGAAGAUGAGGCAGAGUCUGCUCAGUUCAAAAAAUUGUUGGAGGACGCAAACACACCCUUGUAUGAUGGAGCUGGCAAAGAAAACAACGUGUUCGAAGUGACGCUCGAACUUUUGAGGCUGAAGGCAGCAUCAUGCUGGUCAGACAAGGGCUUCACGAACUUGUUGAGUUACCUUGCUUCGGUUUUUCCACAGCCAAACAAGUUGCACAAGAGCACAUACGAGGCGAAGAAGAUUAAAUGCCCGCUCGGAUUAGAUUGCGUGAAACAUCAUUCAUGUCUAAACGACUGCAUGGUAUACAUUGGAGAGUAUGAGAACCAUGAGAGCUGCCACAUAUGCGGUGCAUCGAGAUACAAGAAGAAAAACGCCAGAGCCGGCGAAGACGAUGGGGAAGAAGUGAUGAAGGUCGGCCGGCAAAGACUAUUUGGUAUCUUACGGCAGGUGGCCAAGUUGAACGUUGGAUGCAAAACGUUAAGGACGCGAGGUAUAUCGUCCAUCACGAUCCGACGCAGGCUGCAUUCGAUCCUGACGGGCACUACCGUGUGGAGGAACCUGGGGUCCUAAGACACUCUGCCGAUGGGACUCGGUGGAGGAACUUCGACACGGCAUUUCCGGAUUUCGGGGCAGAGCCCAGAAACCUGAGGCUCGGUCUCAGCACUGACGGGAUAAAUCCUUUCGGAAACAUGAGCAACAAGCACAGCACAUGGCCAGUGAUCUUGUUUGUCUACAACCUUCCUCCAUGGUUAAUCAUGAAGAGAAAGUACAUCCACAUGUGCAUGCUCAUACAGGGUUCAAAGCAGCCGGGAGCUGACCUAAAUGUGUAUCUGCAGCUAGUGAAGGAUGAGCUGAAGCAGCUUUGGAACCCUGGCAGAGUGGUUUGGGACGCAAACAGGAGUGAGUACUACACGAUGAGAGCAGCGCUUCUGACAUGCGUGCAUGACUACCCCGCAAAUAGAAAUACUUCAUGCCAGGUGACACAUGGCUACAAGGCCUGUACAAAGUGCGGGGAAAAGACGACAUCGGAGAAGUUGCCCGCUUCAUCCAAAAUUGUUUACAUGGGCCACCGAAAGUGGUUGGAUGCUAAACGCCCUUGGAGGGAUGACAAGGAAAGGUUCAAUGGGAAGACGGAGCACGUGAUAGCGCCGAAGGAGAAGUCUGGUAUGUAAAUCCUUGAAAUUGUGAAUGAUCUUGAGUUUGUCCCCGGAAAGAUUGCUGCGAAGAAAUAUAAGGAACCUGAAGGCGUCGUGUGGAAAAGGAGAUCCGUAUUCUGGGACCUGGAGUACUGGGCACAUUUAGAAUGCUGCCACAGCAUAGAUGUCAUGCAUGUGGAGAAAAAUGUAUGCGACAACGUGCUGGGGUUGCUGAUGAACAUUCCAGAGAAGAUGAAAGAUGGACCCAAUGCACGGAAGGACCUGGAACUCAUGUCUAUCAGGAAAGAGUUGUGGGGCAAAGAUCAAGUGUCGGCAGCCGACAAGAAUGGUUUCAUGACGGUGACCACGCGGUGUCGUCUUUCAUGUUACAACUUGUACAAAGACGAGUUGCAUAGGAUGUGCCAGUGCCUGCAGGGCAUUAAAGUCCCAUCGAACUACUCGUCGAGCAUCAAGCAUCUAGUUGACAUGAAGAGUCACAAGCUAUCUGGCAUUAAGUCUCACGACAACCAUGUCAUACUCACUCAAUUACUUCCAAUCGCAAUCAGAGGUAUCAUGAAGCCGCACGUAAGGGAGACAAACAUGAAGCUUUCAGACUUCUUUGACAGCAUCUCGCAGAAGUCAAUCACCGUUAGACGAUGCCAGAUACUGAAGAAUAGUAUGAUACAGAUUCUGUGCGAACUCAAGAUGUUCUUCCCUCCAUCAUUCUUUGAUAUCAUGGUCCAUCUAAUGAUCCACAUAUGCGAUGAAAUCUUGUCCCUAGGGCCCUCGUUACAGCAUAAGAUGUAUGGCCCUGAACGAUACAACGGGGUUCUGAAGCGUUACGUUCGUAACAGAUCGCGUCCGGAAGGUAGCAUCGUGGAAGGCUUUUGGGCAGAAGAGUGCAUCGAGUUCUGCACGGAUUGGUUGGCCGAUCAGAAAUCAAUAGGUGUUCCCGAAUCACGGCACAAGGGCAAGCUCGAUGGCGAAGGUGGCCUUGGACUUACAUACCUUAAUGUCUAUGGAAGAGGAAGGGAAGCUGACUUUGAAAGAGCAUAUUUGGUUGUGUUGCAAACUGUCGGUUGCUGCCGGCCUUAUCAGGAAAUGCACAUGGAACAACUGCUAAAUGAAAACCCUAAAAGAGAAGUCUGGAUCCAUUGGGAGCACAAUAAAACAUUCGCAGCGUGGCUGAAGAAUUAUUGGUACGGCAGGGAGACGACCAAUGUAUCAGAAGAGACGGUUGCAUGUUUAUCACGGGAACCUGCUUACCACGUCUCUACUUGGCAAUCAUAUGCGAUCAACGGUUAUAAUUUCUACACUGCGUCUCAGGACCGUAAAAGCACGUAUCAAAAUAGUGGUGUAGUCAUGAAUUCUGAGACCGCGACCGACGACAACAGCAAAACCAAAGCGUUCUUCGGCGUUAUCGAGGAGAUCUGGGAAUUGGAGUACUCAAUCACAAAGAUCCUAAUGUUCCGUGUAAGAUGGACCAAAGGUGACAAAGAAGAAAGUCACAGGUUCACGACGAUGGUGCUACCUCUUGAGAUCCCUCGUGAACAAGUUGAUAUGAGAAAAAUCCCGGCAAGAGAGGAACCAUGGGUCUUUGCUAAACAAUGCAAGCAGGUUUUCUACAUAGACGACCCGGCAAAUAAAGGCCGCGUCGUAGUAAGAAGAGGGGAAAAAAGCAUUGUUGGAGUGGACGGAGUUACUUCACAAGAAGACUACGAAGGUUUCCAUGAUCCGACGACCGCCCCAACAAGUACUAGAGAAAUACAACUGCCCCAACAAGCAUUGUAGCACAUCAGUAACGGUAAGCUACUAUGCGACCGUUACUGAUGUAUAGUAGCACAUCAGUAAUGGGCGGGUGGCUCAGCAACCGUUACUGAUGUACGCUUACAUCAGUAACGGUUGCUGAUGUACGCUUACAUCAGUAACGGUUGCUGAGCCACCCGGACAUCAGUAACGGUUGCUGAGCCACCCGCCCGUUACUGAUGUGUAGGUGCUCAUCAGUAAAGGUCGCGUGGUUACGCGACCGCCACUGAUGUGCUUCGGCGUAUGAAAGGAGCGGCCGAAACCCUAGCCCGUUAUUCCUGUCGCCAGCGCAUCGCUUUCACAGCCGACCAGCAGUGGGCUAUCUCCUCCCGCGGGCGAAGCCUUGCCGGAUUCGCUGCCGCUGCUGUCCUUCUCCUCCGUGCCGUCGACCUCCUCCGGUGCCCCGAGCCCGACACUGCCGAGCCGUGAUGCCCCCGAGCCCGCCGCCGCCAAGCUCAACGGCCCCGCGUCGUCUUCCUCCUCUGCCCCGAGCCCGCGCCUCGUCCUCCUCGCCCCGAGCGCCGCCACCGCGCCCGGAGCCCGCCGCCGCCGAGCCCGACGCCCCCGCCUCGACCACCUGCCGCCGAGCCCGACGCCACCGCGCCGCCGUCUCCCUCCUCACCGAGCCCGAGCCGUCUCCGUCCUCCCCACAGGUGCGCGCCUCCUCUGCCUCCCUCCCUCUCCUCUGAUUUAGCUUGAUUUAGGGUUAGGGUUAGGGUUAGGAUUUGUUCCUGUUAAUUUAGGGUUAGGAUUUGUUGCUGUUAAUUUAGGGUUAGGGUUAGGAUUUGUGAAUUUGAUAAUUGAGUUAGAUGGGCAUGUUAAUUUAGGAUUAGCAUUGUAGUUUGUAGUUUGUAGGAUUAGUAGUUGUUCCCCGAGCCACAUAAGCAUGUUAAUUUGAUAAUUAAAGAGCACGAUUUAUACAAGUGUUAGCUUGCUAAUUUCUGCCCCUGUUUUACAAACAUUAGGGUUCACUGAAAUUAAAGAGCAUGAUUUAUACAAGUGUUAGCUUGUUGUGGAUGUUAGUGAUGGAGAAUUGAAACCAUCUUUUAUCUAUCUUUCCUUGCUAACAACUAGAUUUACUAGCAAAACUACACUACUCUACAUACGCCAGAAAUACGUGUCUGGAAUCACACUAAACCGGCGUCUAUAGAGGCUCUGAAGAUGGGUGAGACACAUCCUCUUAUUCACUUCUUAUUUUGCCCUUAGCUUCCGCUUUUCCAACUCCAAUCUUCGGCCUUUGACUUUCCCGAAAAGGCAUUCAUUCAUUGUUCGUUCUGAGGUGGAUUCGAACCAUGUUUGGAUUUCUUGUCCAAACGGACCAGCGAAAGAGGAUUUUCAGUCCCGCGCUGUCAGAACCUCCAGGGAUUUCUCCACUGAACACCCACACAAUCUGGAUUUGAUGAAAUAGCUACGUUUUUUUCUUAUUUGAUUCGGAUACUGUCCAUCUUUCUCUUUCCUUUUCUCCUUUCUUUCUCCUCAACCUAUCUCCAUUGGAUGGACUUACGAAAGAAUAAUAUCGUCUCUCCCCAUCGCGGUUAGGAUCCCAUGAACCAGGAGCGCCAGCACCGGUUCCUCGAUCUUCCUACUGGAGGCAUGGUCACUCGGUAACCCACGAGAAAUCCAAAUCCUAUCAAAACUGCUGUUCCAAUCCAAUGAAGAUAUCUCAACAUCAAUCCACUAUUCUUAUCGGAAGCUUAGUUUGGAUAAUGGAAUAUUCCAAAGCAUUCGCUUCUGAAAGAAUUUGAACUAAUAAAGGAGCGAAGCUGACUCGACCGGGUCUCCGGUCCCAUCGUAGAUCCGGGGCAUAACAACAUUCAAAUGAAAACGGACGGAUGCUGUGGUAGCGGGUCAGGCUUACGAUAGCCUUGGUUGGGAUCGUCGCCUGACGCGCGUCAUUCGUUUGAAAUAAUCUUCCGGAUUUUCUGCUCUGUUAGCAGAGCGUUUGGAGGCCAAGGCUCAAGAGGCUGUUCCGGGUCGCACUCGUCCGCCCACCUGGGACCUAUCGAGGGGAGGGAAGUGGAAGGUUGACGUGAGGUGGACGGCCCUCCUGGUCUUCACCUAAUUGUGAAAGAGGGGAGUAUCAACUCUCUCUCGCGCCUUUCUUCAGCUUGCUUCUUCCUGUUCGUCCAUUCGGGACGGGGCAGGCAGCCCACAUACAUGAAAAGAAAAAGAGGGGGGGGGGUACCUUGUCUGUCAGUCGAAGAAGGCAACAAACAAGUGGAAGCAACCGAUGCUUUGGUCAUUCGACUCCUUGAUGCCAGUCUGUGCUUGCUGUCAUGCUGGCAAAAGCGGGGGUUUUGGCCGGUU
rnacentral:lncRNA from 1 species